AGUUAAUGUUGCCAUCAACAAACAUUUAAAUGCUCAAUUUACUUCACUGAAUACAGACACAACAAAUAUGAAAAUCUAAAUUCAUACACAUGCUACUUAAUAUGAAAGUGCUUUCUCUUUUUUAAAAAAAUACACCAAAUGGACACUUUUUACAUAGAUCAAAUGUGCUCUUACAAUGCAAAAUUAACCUUCAUUUUCAGGUUAUACAUUUUAAAACUGUAGCUAUCAACACCAAUCUAGGAACUCUAAUGCUAAGAGUGCUAAAAACUAUUUCAUUUCUUGUAAGGAGGACUCUAAUACAAUAUCCAAUGUAAAGAAUACAUCUAUAUAUAAUCUUAACAUGUUUUCUGUAAAGAUAAAAAAUGUUUUCUUUCCCCUUGGUGAUCUUUGUUCAUCCUGGGUGGAUCAUCUUUUGAGGUUUUAAUAAUAUGAAAGUCCUAUUUUAGAACAAUGGGAGGAACCAAAAGGGGAAUUAAAAAAUUGGUUAACGUGUGCUUGAAGCAUCCAAAAAACACCAGUUUAUCACAACAAUUGGUCUUUGCUAAAAUUAACAAAAUUUUAAUAAGCAAGACGACAAAAAGUACUAAUUUAAAAGGCUUGAAAUGCCUGCCACCAUUGUCAGUAUCCAUCCAUCCAACCUUCAUUUACUACAAGCACAAUACUACUUUGAGGAUAGUUUUUGGAACUUAUUUUGACUUUUUUCCCUAUAGGAAAAACAAAGACCAAGCUUUUGAAGGAGAGGACUGGGAAUCUAGUUUAAAUGUCUACAUCCAAAAUUAUAUCAUCUUUGCGCAUUCAGUUGACUUUUUAAAAUUUAAGAAUACAUAUACAAAAAGUACUUAUGGAAUACAUAUUUUAACAGCAUAACAUAUUUGAAGAAUUAGUUACACUUUAAAAAUUAAAACACUUGAAAAGUAUUUUUUAAACCAGUACCAUGGAAUAACUUUUUGAAACCCAGAUUAUCUGGCUACUUAGAUGAUAGUCUUCCUGUUUUCAAUUAGUUUGAAAGAUUCUAAUAUAGAUUCUAACCCAACAGUUUAUAUGGAUAUUUUCCUGCUUUAAAAAGCUGCAACAGGCUAGGCGCAGUGGCUCAUGCCUAUAAUCCCGGCACUUUGGGAGGCUGAGGUGGGCGGAUCACUUGAGGUCAGGAGUUCGAGUCCAGCCUGGCCAACAUGGUGAAACCCCAUCUCUACUAAAAAUACAAAAAACUGGCCAGGCAUAGUGGUGCAUGCCAGUAAUCCCAGCUACUUGGGAGGCCAAGGUGGGAGAAUCUAUUGAACCUGGGAGGUGGAGGUUGCAUUGAGCCAAGAUCACACCGCUGCACUCAAGCCUGGGUGACAGUGAGACUCUGUCUCAAAACAAACAAAACAAAAAAGCUAAAACAAUGAUAAACUAUUUUUAAUAGAUAUUUUCAUUCUAUAUCUUUAUGGAGAAUGUCAGUAUCAACUGAUGUUAACAAGUAAAGCUUUGUCAACAGGAAUUACAAUGUGAUUCACAGAUCCCAGAAUGACAAGGAAGGGACCUUAACCCAAUAAAUGAUUCUCCCAUUCAAUGUUUACCCCCUAGAUACUUAACAAUUCAAGCAUGGAACUGUUUCAUGUUUACCCGUUCUACAUUUAAAGGAUGCCCUUUUACUAUAUAUGUGCUUUCUAGAAUAUUACUGAUUCUUACAUAUCUUUAAAAGUUGGAUAUUUGUAAUAGCUUAAAGUACAGUAACACUUAUUUUGUGUAAUCUUUCUUAAUUUAAAAACAAAAAAUAAAUGAACAAGUCAGUUCCAAUG
rnacentral:lncRNA from 1 species